rnacentral:rRNA from 1 species
GCGUAACACGUGAGAAACCUAGCCCCGGUCUCUGGGAUAACACCUGGAAACGGAUGCUAAUACCGGAUGCCUUCGGACGAUCGCAUAGAUCGACCGAAGAAAGAAUUUCGGACCGGGAGGGUCUCGCGGCCUAUCAGCUAGUUGGAGAGGUAACGGCUCACCAAGGCAUCGACGGGUAGCUGGUCUGAGAGGAUGAUCAGCCACACUGGGACUGAGACACGGCCCAGACUCCUACGGGAGGCAGCAGUGGGGAAUCUUGCACAAUGGGCGAAAGCCUGAUGCAGCAACGCCGCGUGCGGGAAGACAGCCCUAGGGUUGUAAACCGCUUUCAGCAGGGAAGAAACUGACGGUACCUGCAGAAGAAGGUGCGGCCAACUACGUGCCAGCAGCCGCGGUAACACGUAGGCACCAAGCGUAAUCCGGAUUUAUUGGGCGUAAAGAGCUCGUAGGCGGUACAGUUAGUCGGGUGUGAAAACUCAAGGCUCAACCUUGAGAGGCCACCCGAUACUGCUGUGACUUGAGUAGCGGAGGGGAGUGGGGAAUUCCUGGUGUAGCGGUGAAAUGCGCAGAUAUCAGGAGGAACACCAGAGGCGAAGGCGCCACUCUGGG